rnacentral:rRNA from 1 species
GAUGAACGCUGGCGGCGUGCCUAAUACAUGCAAGUCGAGCGAACAGACGAGGAGCUUGCUCGUCUGACGUUAGCGGCGGACGGGUGAGUAACACGUGUAUAACCUACCUAUCAGACUGGGAUCUCUAUGGGACACCGGAGCUAAUACCGGAUAAUAUAUUGAACCGCAUGGUUCAAUAGUGAAAGACGGUUUUGCUGUCACUUAUAGAUGGAUCCGCGCCGCAUUAGAUAGUUGGUAGGUUCACGGCUUACCAAGGCGACGAUGCGUAGCCGACCGGAGAGAGUGAUCGGCGACCCUGGAGGGGGGACACGGACCAGGCUACUACGGGAGGCAGCAGUAGGGAAUCGUACGCAAUGGGCGGAAGCCUGACGGAGCGAGGCCGCGUGAGUGAUGAAAGUCUUCGGAGCGUAAUACUCUGUUAUGAGGGAAGAACAAAUGUGUAAGUAACUAUGCACGUCUUGACGGUACCGAAUCAGAAAGCCACGGCUAACUACGUG